rnacentral:rRNA from 1 species
UACGUAGGGGGCUAGCGUUGUCCGGAAUCAUUGGGCGUAAAGAGCGUGUAGGCGGCUCAGUAAGUCCGCUGUGAAAGUCCAGGGCUCAACCCUGGAAUGCCAGUGGAAACUGUUGAGCUAGAGUCCGGAAGAGGCGAGUGGAAUUCCUGGUGUAGCGGUGAAAUGCGCAGAUAUCAGGAGGAACACCAAUGGCGAAGGCAGCUCGCUGGGACGGUACUGACGCUGAGACGCGAAAGCGUGGGGGAGCAAACAGG